UACGGGGGGGGUAAGCGUUGUUCGGAAUUACUGGGCGUAAAGGGCUCGUAGGCGGCCAACUAAGUCAUACGUGAAAUCCCUCAGCUUAACUGGGGAACUGCGUGUGAUACUGGAUGGCUUGGAUUUGGGAGAGGGAUGCGGAAUUCCAGGUGUAGCGGUGAAAUGCGUAGAUAUCUGGAGGAACACCGGUGGCGAAGGCGGCAUCAUGGACCAAUAUUGACGCUGAGGAGCGAAAGCUAGGGGAGCAAACGGG
rnacentral:rRNA from 1 species